rnacentral:misc_RNA from 1 species
AUGGGUUUGUGGAGUUUGUAUCUCAUGCCGCAGCAGAAAGAAUUUUGCAGACAUACAAUGGGACCCAGAUGCCUGGAACGGAGCAAACUUUCAGAUUGAAUUGGGCCUCCUUUGGAAUUGGAGAAAGGCGCCCGGACGCUGGCCCUGAGCACUCUAUUUUUGUGGGGGAUUUGGCUCCUGAUGUUACAGACUAUCUGUUGCAAGAGACCUUUAGAGUACAAUAUCCAUCUGUUAGGGGUGCUAAAGUUGUGACUGAUCCAAACACUGGACGUUCAAAGGGAUAUGGGUUUGUUAAAUUUGCUGAUGAAAAUGAAAGGAAUCGAGCUAUGUCAGAAAUGAAUGGUAUUUAUUGCUCAACUAGGCCUAUGCGUAUUAGUGCAGCAACACCCAAAAAGACCAUUGGUGUUCAGCAGCAAUAUAGUCUAGGUAAAGCAAUGUACCCAG